AUACGGAGGGAGCGAGCGUUAAUCGGAAUUACUGGGCGUAAAGCGCGCGUAGGCGGCUUUGUAAGUCGGAUGUGAAAGCCCAGGGCUCAACCCUGGAAUUGCAUUCGAUACUGCAGAACUAGAGUAUGGUAGAGGGAAGUGGAAUUUCCGGUGUAGCGGUGAAAUGCGUAGAUAUCGGAAGGAACACCAGUGGCGAAGGCGACUUCCUGGGCCAAUACUGACGCUGAGGUGCGAAAGCGUGGGGAGCAAACAGGAUUAGAAACCCGAGUAGUCC
rnacentral:rRNA from 1 species